UACAGAGGGUGCAAGCGUUAAUCGGAAUUACUGGGCGUAAAGCGCACGCAGGCGGUUGGUUAAGUCAGAUGUGAAAGCCCCGGGCUCAACCUGGGAAUUGCAUUUGAAACUGGCCAACUAGAGUACGUGAGAGGGGGGUAGAAUUCCAAGUGUAGCGGUGAAAUGCGUAGAGAUUUGGAGGAAUACCAGUGGCGAAGGCGGCCCCCUGGGCCUGUACUGACGCUCAUGCACGAAAGCGUGGGGAGCAAACAGG
rnacentral:rRNA from 1 species